UACGUAGGGGGCAAGCGUUGUCCGGAAUCAUUGGGCGUAAAGAGCGCGUAGGCGGCCCUGUAAGUCCGCUGUGAAAGUCAAGGGCUCAACCCUUGGAUGCCGGUGGAUACUGCAGGCUAGAGUCCGGGAAGAGGCGAGUGGAAUUCCUGGUGGUAGCGGUGAAAUGCGCAGAUAUCAAGGAGGAACACCGAUGGCGAAGGCAGCUCGCUG
rnacentral:rRNA from 1 species